ensembl:lncRNA
UGAAGAUUUAAAAAAUUGAAGCCAAAUGGCUAAAAAAGGAUUGUUCUGGAGAAAGCUGUUAAUGUUUUGUAUAAUUCCAUUCCUGUGGAAUAGAAGGGGUGCUUCCUCCUCCCCCUGAUCUAAAUAAGAAAGGGGGCUCAAAGGAAAUUACUUAUAGAAGUUGACUUACUAUCCUGUAGUCUGGAAGCAUUGGGAUGGCAAGAGAAGCUGGAGACAUUUUGGCCCAAAGCGGGGGAACCGAGAGAAAGAGGACCACCUUGAGAAUAAAACUCUCUUCUGUUACAUGGUAGGACAAGGGUAUUUGAGUUUUCUUGUGGAUCAGAUGUAGGCCACAUAAGAGAGAGGCAAUAUGGAGCUACUUUGAAUUCCACUCCCUUCCCCAAGAAACUGUGAUGCUAAUGAGAGAUAUUACUUCUACAUGCAUGAAAGCUGAGGGAAGAAUUUGAAGCAGCCAGCAAGUGAUAAGUAAGGGUCAAGAAAGUUGAAAUUGGGAGAGUUCUCCUGUGGCACAGCCAGUUAAGGAUCCAGCUUUGUUACUGCUGUGGCUCUGGUUACAGCUGUGCCACAGUUUCUAUCCCUGGCCUGGGAACUUCUGCAUAAUGCAGGCGUGGCCAAAAAAGAAGAACGUUGAGAUUGGAAAGAUCCAGUGUGAUAUCAUUGAGAAAUUCACCAAGGCAUCCCAGAAGAGAAAGAAUUAACUUUGGGACACUGCCACCCUGAGACGGUUCUAUCACAGAUUAUUCCAUGCCUCUCAAGUGAGAUCUAUCCUGCUGCUUCCUUGUCCUUCCUCAUUACCCUAUCUCCAAGCCUGAUGGAUGCAGAGAAGACCUGACAACAGUGAGAAGAGGAAAAAUGUGGCGAAAAGAGAGAAGUCAAGAGUGUUCUUUGCCCAUUCUGGACUCCAGGGCUAAAGUAAUACCAAGCUCAGGAAUACAUUUUCAUUUUUGGCAUUUGAGAAAUCCACAUACAACAGUAGCGUGAAUGGUAAGUGAAGCAACAAACUUCCAUUAUUUUAAAACAAAAUAGACUUGAAGAUUUGGGGCUUUGGGGAGGAAUUUUUCAUUUCUGAAUUGCACAAAAUCAUUCAUAAUUACCUCUUAGUGAUUUCAAUAUCACAAAUCCCUUCUGAUUAGCCCUCUUAAAAAAAAAAAGAGAGGAACCUGCUUCAGAAUUGUUUGGCCCUGUUGGAAGCCCUGUCUUAGAGAACAGCAGAUUAUGUAAUUAAAUUGAAUCGUGUAUUUUCCAUAGAAACAAGGCAUGAUACUGGAACUGAUGCAAGCUAUAUGCUCAUUUCUAUAUUUAGACUGCUCAAUGUCAACAGCACGGCAGUCCAUUGACUGAUCACCCAAGAGUUAAGGCAUCCUAUGAAGCUUUUCAAUUUUAAAAAUAUGUAAAGGCAGAAAAAAAGUAGCGACUCUAGAAAUGGCUGAUGAAACAACAUAAUCCUUUUACGGAACUAUUCUUCAUUCCUUGAGUGAAAGACUGUCCCCAACAGCUGGUAUUUUCCCAUUUGCUUAGAGUGCAUGCAGUAUAGAGAAGUCUGGAGAAAUAGUUAAGUUUAGUUUGCAAGAAAGCAAGUCAGUUUAUGGAGAAACGUGCCAAGUACCUCCAGAAGUUUGUAAGUGAAAAUACAAAUGUAAUAUUGAAGAAAAAUGCCCCUUCGUUUUUCAUAUGUGAAGUGUAAACUA